AUAUAGCUUUCGAUUUGAAAUCUAAUAGGGGCUUGGCCAUAUCUCCAUUUCUGACCUCAGUCGCUAGUCCUUACUUCGAUGAUCUAUCUCCACCAAACUUGGUACUGGCCGACCUAACAAGGCACUUGAGCUAAUCUUGUUUGGCAAAAUAAGAAAGGUUGACCUUCAACCCACAUGUAGAUCUUCAAAUCUCAUGACCACCGAGAAUAAAUGAUGACGAGCGGAUAAGAAAUAAAUAAUAAAUAAAUCUCUCCAGAUAAGAGAAGUAUAACGACCGAAUCUCGUCAGAUAAAACAAAACCAACCA
rnacentral:lncRNA from 1 species